UGGGGAAUAUUGCACAAUGGGCGCAAGCCUGAUGCAGCCAUGCCGCGUGUGUGAAGAAGGCCUUCGGGUUGUAAAGCACUUUCAGCGGGGAGGAAGGCGAUAAGGUUAAUAACCUUGGCGAUUGACGUUACCCGCAGAAGAAGCACCGGCUAACUCCGUGCCAGCAGCCGCGGUAAUACGGAGGGUGCAAGCGUUAAUCGGAAUUACUGGGCGUAAAGCGCACGCAGGCGGUCUGUCAAGUCGGAUGUGAAAUCCCCGGGCUCAACCUGGGAAAUGCAUUCGAAACUGGCAGGCUAGAGUCUUGUAGAGGGGGGUAGAAUUCCAGGUGUAGCGGUGAAAUGCGUAGAGAUCUGGAGGAAUACCGGUGGCGAAGGCGGCCCCCUGGACAAAGACUGACGCUCAGGUGCGAAAGAGUGGGGAGCAAACAGG
rnacentral:rRNA from 1 species